GUCUACGGCCAUACCACCCUGAACGCGCCCCAUCUCGUCUGAUCUCGGAAGCUAAGCAGGGUCGGGCCUGGUUAGUACUUGGAUGGGAGAAAAGAAGAGGGUGGAGCCA
rnacentral:rRNA from 1 species